UACGGAGGAUGCGAGCGUUAUCCGGAUUUAUUGGGUUUAAAGGGUGCGUAGGCGGGUUAUCAAGUCAGCGGUAAAAUCGUGGAGCUCAACUCCAUCCAGCCGUUGAAACUGAUGAUCUUGAGUGGGCGAGAAGUAUGCGGAAUGCGUGGUGUAGCGGUGAAAUGCAUAGAUAUCACGCAGAACUCCGAUUGCGAAGGCAGCAUACCGGCGCCCGACUGACGCUGAAGCACGAAAGCGUGGGUAUCGA
rnacentral:rRNA from 1 species